rnacentral:rRNA from 1 species
AUGCAAGUCUCAGNGCAAUCGGAUUGAACAGAGGGUCUGUGAAUGGCUCCUUACAUCAGCAGUCAUCCUCGUGAUAGUGUGUGGCUGGCACCCCGUGCAAUGGUGCCCAUUGGGACAUCCUCAAAAACCUUGUGGCUAAUACCCGUCCGCAGCAGUCAACCCCAGCACAGGGCGGCCUUCCCUGGCCGGCCUCCUGGUGGUGGAUCAUGCCCAGCUGAGACGAAGACCAGCGCCCGUUCCAAGGGGCAGUGUGUUGAGGGUUGACUCAGGCUGGACUCCCGUCUGGGGAACGGCCAUUCUGGCAGAGUUGGUGGCCUCGUGCCACAUCGCUUGAUCACAGGAACUUCUGACCUAUCAGCUUGGAUUGUGAGGUAGUGGCUCACAAUGGCAGUAACGGGUAACGGAGAAUCAGGGUUCGAUUCCGGAGAGGGAGCCUGAGAAACGGCUACCACUACCAAGGUGGGCAGCAGGCGCGCAAAUUGCCCAAUACAAGUCCCUUUGUGUGAGGCAGCGACGAACCGCAGCAAUCCCGCUGGCCUUCUGUGCCAGUGGUCUUUGGAAUGGAUGCAACCCAAACACAGCCAUGAGUAUCGACUGGAGGGCAAGUCUGGUGCCAGCAGCCGCGGUAAUUCCAGCUCCAAGAGCGUACACUAUCAUUGCUUCUGUUAAAACACCUGUAGUCUACCACUGGGUCCCGGUCUGCUGGGUGGCUGGCACCAGGGGUGUGGGGGUGGGGUCCUGCCUCGGCACGAUCCCCUCCCCCCCCUGGGGCUGGGUCAAAACCCCCAGCGGUGUGUCCGGGACCCGCAUCCCCUUGAGGAAUACCGGUGAGAUGCUCCUGCUGCAAGCCCCCUUCACUGGGGGCCCAGGCGGACACGCCCUCCACGCAGGCACGAGUCGCAGCAACCCUCCCAUGGGCUGUGUGCCCUGGACCACAGCUCCGUCUGUGGCUGCUGCUCGCCACAGGAGCCCACCUGACCUUGAUACCCUGGAAAACUCAGUGUGCUCAACGCAUCCUGCCCGUCACGGCUGGAUGCUCAUCCAUGGAAUGUCGCAGCAUCGACCUAGUGAGGCUCAGUGUUUGUGCUGGCCUUGGGGCCCACCCAGGGCAAUGUGGUGCAUGGUUCUGGACUGGACGGAGGGGGGCCGUGCUGGCUCGCCCACACGUGUCUCUCCAACUAAGGUAUCUGCAAACCAUGUGCUGACCGGAGAUGAUGGAACCAACCAGGGUGAAAGGUAUUGGACCGCCAGAGGUGAAAUUCUUAGACCGUUCCCAGACCCACUGGAGCGAUGGCGUUCUGCAGGCCUGGGUUCGUCGAUCAAGGAUGAGAGUCUGGGGAACGAAGAUGAUCAGACACCGUCGUAGUCCAGCACCGUAAACAGUGCCAGCAAGGCCUCAGCAGGGCCCCUUCCAAGACCCUGCUGGUGCCACUCCCCUACCAACGAGAAAUCCACAGCCUGUGGGUUCAGGGGGGAGUACUGUCGCAAGGCUGAAACUUAAAGGAAUUGACGGAAUGGCACCACAAGGCGUGGAGUAUGCGGCUUAAUUUGACUCAACACGGGGAAUGUUACCAGGUCAGGACACAGCUAGGAUGGACAGAUUGAGAGCUCUCUCUUGAUCCUGUGGUCGGUGGUGCAUGGCCGCUCCUGAUUGGUGGAGUGAUUUGUCUGGUUGAUUCCGAUAACGAGUGAGAUCUCUGCCUCCCAGUAGCCCCUGGCUCGCAUUUGGUAGGGCUAGGUCCCGGGAGACCAGCCCGGUGUCGACCGGUGCAACAACACUGGCCAGUGCCGGGUUCCCGGGCCUCCCGAGAGCCCAGGGCCCUAUAGCUUCUCUGAGGUGCUGUGUUCGCUUCCAAGAGCAUGCAUGCUAGAGCCAACAGCAGGUCUGUGAUGCCCCCAGAUGUUCUGGGCCGCACGCGCACUACAUUGGAAUGGUGAAGGGGUUAGCAACUUGGCUAUCUGCCGAGACCUGGCCAGCAAUGGCUGGGAAAUCCUGGGAGCCGAUGGCCGUACUGGGGAUAGACGAUUGCAACUGUGUGCCUUGAACGUGGAAUGCCUAGUAGGCGUUGGUCAUCAGCCAACACCGAUUGUGUCCCUGCCAUUUGUACACACCGCCCGUCGUUGCUACCGAUGGUGAGAGGAUAGAGACAUCAGGAGGUGUGACCGAUGUAUUAUGCGUGCACGAUCACGNCGAAAUUGGCCAAUGUUCUCUGACUAGAGGAAGCAAAA